CCCCAGUGAGUCUAACGCCGGCCCUGCUCUCGGGUUUAUUUUGGCAGACCCCCUGAAACUUGCUUGCAGCCCCCCAGAGGGCCCCAAACUCCUGGUUGAGAACCACUGGCCUAGAGGUCAAACUCCAGAGCUCAUUACUAUUCCUCUGAGUCAUCUAGUCCCACAGAAACCAGAGCUUUGCUAUCUUAACUAAAAGUAUAUUAGUCAAUUCCACAUUGCUUGUGGGAAUAGUAGUGUCCAGUCAUUCUAAAGAAAUGCAAUUUAAACAGCAGGGCCUCUUUGAUCAGUACAGUACCUGUUUAUUAUAAUGAUAUGAGGGUGGCUUCUGCUGUGAUAUCAUCACUGGUGAAUAAAUUGCUAGUUUGAAGUCAGGUGGUUACAACAAACACACACAGAGUCCAAGGGCUACUCAGUGCAAAUACUCACAAGAAUAAGGCUUGUAGGAUUGGACUCUUAGGCCUCCCACAGUCCUGGAACUGGUUCUGUGUGGACACCUUUGGAGCUACAUGGAGUUCCAUGGAAUGCAGCAGGGCUCCAGUUAGACAAAGAUGUUUGCUGACCAGUUGCAGGAGCAGGACCUUUAUUUACAACUUAGCUUGCAAACUUCUGAGUUAUCAGCUUUUUAUGGGAAAAAAUUGCUUUUGCAUAGCAUCCCACAUUUCUACAGCAUCACCCAAACAAGAUCAAAGAAUGUACAUGCUUUUGCAUUAUCUACACUUGUGUGUAAGCCAGAACUUAACCUUUUGGAUUUCCUUCUUAAUCAAAUUUUCAUGGGAAAAAUUGCAUUAACAGAAGGUGUUCCCAGCCAGAAAAAAUAGAUCUGGAAUGUUAAACUUACCAGAGUGUAAAACAGACCACUUUACAUUUCAAAUUUAUGUUAAAUGUCUACAGCCAGAAAAAAGCUUUGAAAAUUGUAGCUAAGCUUGGGCGGGUAACUAAGGCUCACCUAACACUAAAACUAAGGUUGCAAAAAGCAGAGAGAGAUACAUGAUGGGAAGGUAAUAAUGUACUUUUCUUGUUUAAAAAAAAUAUAGUAAUUAUGUAUUGGUCUCUGUCAGCUUAUGUGAAAGUGGAUGGUAAUUUUGUACCAGGAGGGGUCCUUCUAAAAGACCCUGAAACAAAGGGAUUUUAACACAAAUUAGACUGCAUUUAAAACAGAAGGGGUGGAUGGGGGAAAAGAAAGACUGCUGUCUUGAAUGUAGGUUUCAAAAGGACACAUCAUCUUAGACAUGUUUGACCCAUCUGCCCCGCCUCAAAUGGAGGCAUGGCUAGAACAACCCUAAGUGAUCUGUGAUCCUGUGCUCCAGAUUGCAAUGGUUGGAGCUGGGCCCAGUCCUGCAGGACAAAGGCCACCACUGCAGGGUGAGUGUGAAGUGGACUCACUCUCCAAACUCUCCCCCACCCUGCACUUUUAGGGACUUGCUUUCCCCCACAUCUUUGCUGUGAAAUUUACAAAAAAUUUCCAAGCCAAAAUCAUAGACAAUUACACCUGGAGCGUACCUGUCCUUACUGCCAUAUACAGGCUCUAACAGUGGCAGUCUUGUUCUCCCUACUGAAUUAGUUUUAAAGUCCCUGUGUCAUUUUGCAUAUGGUUUCAUAAAACCGCCGACACCACGUCUGUGAUUUCUCAGCCACAUGACCAGAUUUUCAGAAGCUGCUGCGCAACUACAGCUCUCGUUGGUUUCAGUGAGGUCACUGGAUGUUCAGCAUUGCUGAAAGUCAGGCCACCAACCACCACUCAUCACUACGUGGUUGGAGCAGCAGCAUGCUUCUCCAGCCUCUGCGACUAUUUCUCUUCAACAUUCUUCUUGCCUAGCUAAUAAAUGCUCCAACUUUGCCAGGAGUGACCUGAUGAUCAGGGAUCCUAGUUUUCAGUGAUAAAAAACAAAAAUUCUUCAAUAAUCCCUCCCCCCCCAUAAAAAUCCAUGUUUUCCACAAUUAAAAUGAAACACUGAACUUUAGUUUCCCUAGCCACUAUAUAUAGAGAUAUCAGUUGAACACAAUGUUUUAUUGAUAUAUUUACUGUUGUAAAACACUGGAAUGAGCCCAUCACAUUGUUUCUUUACUGUUGUCAAUGGUCCUACUGUUUCAGCCUCUUGUUUUUGUUUCUUUUUAUGUUUAGUGCUUUCCAUGUGUUCAACAAUUGUCUGCCUUCGAACGUAAUCUACAGCCUACCGUACAGAACAGCACAUUACCAGCAAUGUGAAAUUUGUCCUUUGCAAGCUCAGUGACAGUCUUUAGGGGUGAUUUUUAAAGUUUUUGGCAUCUUUUCAUAUCUUUAAUUAGUCAUAUCUGGAGGCUGCAGUGAAAUCUGAGAUGCAUUAAAACAUGAACUCCUAUACACCAUUGAGUAAGCUUUGCAUGCUGGAAGCGGUUUAUUGGAGUAUGUUUAGCUAUGUAAAUUUAAAGCACAUUCAACAAUCUACCACAAGAGGGGGGAGGUUGCACACAUUGAACAAGACGUGACACUGGUACUUUCAGUAAAACUUAGUUAAUAGUUAAUGUUUUUGUUUUUUUCACAAAAUAUUAAAUGCCACAUUUUUCCAGGGCAAACUGAUUUCUAGCAUCUGUGCUGAUGAUGUAACAGGAUAUUUAGCACUGAACAAGUGAGCUAGAGCAAAGGUCCAGGCAGAUGCGAUAAUACAGUAACUUGUGAUGAUAUAAACUAGAUCUGGGAGAAUAAUGACCUGAUUAAAGUUUUUUCUAGUUACAAAAUGCAAAUGAAUUCAAGCAACUGUUCUGGCUAUUGGUAAUUACCCUCUGGGAUAUUUCAGGGACUCUCUUCACUGUUAUUCCAAAAUCGGGGCCUGACCCUGCGAACACUACCCAGCAUAAGGCUGGAUUCAAACAGUUAUCCCUAUUCAACAAAGGACUUAAGAACAUACUUCACUUUAAGGAUGUGCUUAAAGGGUAGCUGAACAGGGAUGACUAGUAUGUCAUUAAAUGCUUUGCUGAAUUGGGGCCAUGCUGCUUACUAAACAUAAGUAGUCUCAUUCAUUGCGGAAGCAGCCUAUCACACAAACGCCAAGGUUUUAGAUAGGAUGCAUUUUUCUAAAUACACUCUUGAUAUUGUUCUUUUAAAAACUGCUCUCACAGUGCAUAAGUCGUGUUAUGUAAUAAGCAUACUCAGCAUGUUUCUUUACUAGUACAUCAUGUUACCAUGAAAGAUUUGGGCUCCAAUCCUGAAAACACUUGUUUAUAUGCUCAGCUCCACAUGAGUGGCAUCACUGAAAUCAGUGGGAUUACUCACUAAGCAUUUAAGUGAUUUCUGCACUGGGGCUUGCAUAUCAAAAGCUUGAAGGAAAAACCACUAAGCUAAAGCUCUAUUACAAAUUAAACCAGUUCUAUUGUAGUGGUACGGGAUGUUGCAAAGGAACACGUUUUUUCCAGUGAUACCUAUCAAUCUUUAUCUGACAAAGCUUCAUGAGAUACUAACCUAAGCAAGCCCUGAGUCCUGCAAACACUGAUUCACAUGAACAGCUAAGUGAGUAGUUCCACUGAGUUUAAAACAGAGCUAGUCACAUGUGUAAAAGUUAUUCAUGUGUAUAUAAACAUGUAUUUCCAAUUUGGACUUUCAGCUCUUUCUGAUUAAGUGCUGGAUGCAGUCAGCAGAGGGUGGCAAAGCUGUUUGCUUUAAAAACACAGGACACUUUGUGAUCACUGUGGAUGUGUCUUAUCACCAAGAAAAUCAAACACCAUUCGUGAUGCACCACUCAUUAAAACUUGUGAUCCAAUUCUAAAAAAUAUUUUAUUUUUAAACCAUUAAGGCAAAACCAUAGCUUUAAAUUAACCAUCUUUACAUUCAUCAGUCUUACAGUAUGACUUUUUAAGCGCAUAUGGUUCUUACAAGUCAUGACACAAUCACUAAUCAGCUCAAUCCCUUAUUCUUAAGGAGAGAAAAAUCAGAUUGUAAAAUAAAAAUUAGAAAAAAAAUAACAAUCUACAGGCCUGUUUCCAGUCUGUUGAUUCUAGAACAAACAUUCAGAAUCCAUUAUAUUUAGUAAUUAAAAAACUUGUUUUUGUUGCUUGUAGAAGUGCAAAAGACCUCUUAACUUUGUCUUUCCUAUAAGUCCCUAUGCUACCAGGGCUUUCCAUUCCCUCUUAAAACAGCACCUGCACCGUUGUGACUAAAAAGUACUAGGGGAUUUAACCUGAGUUACUGGUACUUUACAGGAAGACAAUCACUCCAUGAUAAUUAUUUUUGACUCCUCACCACUAAGCAGUAUCUUCUACUGAUGAGUUUGAUACAUUUUUCACUACACUUUUGUACAUUUAAUACAAGUAAAAGGCACCCAAGAAAAGUUCCAGACAACUGGAAACCCUGACAUAAAAUGUUUUUUACAUCUAUAUUUGUGCUGAGUUAACCACUUA